rnacentral:rRNA from 1 species
GAAACUAAAUAGGAUUCCCUCAGUAAUGGCGAAUGAACAGGGAUGAGCUCACCAUGGAAAUUGUAGCUUCUGGCUAUGAAUUGUAAUUUCAAGAUGUAUCGCCAACGAGGGCGCAGGUGCAAGCCUCUUGGAAAAGAGCAUCAGUGAGGGUGAGAAUCCCGUUUGUCAUCUGUAGACCCUCGUGUUCGGCAUACGAUCUUAGAGUCACGUUCCUCGGGAUUGGAGCGCAAAGUGGGUGGUAAAUUUCAUCUCAAGCUAAAUAUGGGUUCGAAACCGAUAGCAAACAAGUACCAUGAGGGAAAGAUGAAAAGGACUUUGAAAAGAGAGUUAAAAGUGCCUGAACUUGCUGAAAGGAAAGCGGAUGGAACCACUCUUGCCUGGCGAGAUUGUUGCGUGCUCCAGUGAUUCAUUGCUGCGCGAGCGCAAGCAGCGCUGCGAUUUUUGAUCUGGUCGCGCGUGAUGCUUCUUGCCUUGUGCGUCACUAGCUGCGCGAUGGUGAGGAUACCUCUAGGGACAUGGUAGCGAGCCUUCGGGAGCGCGAAUGUGCUUAGUAGUGCUUGCCCUCGCGCGGUGCCUCUUUGCUUCAGAUUGCGUUGCGCUCGACGCGGUGUCGCAUGCAAGUGCGCGUCCGCUCGGGACACCUUUCUGGCGCUCCCUUAGUGGCGAAAUGGUUCCAUU